AGCAGUUUGGCUCAGUGGAAAGAGCACGGGCUUUGGAGUCAGAGGUCGUGGGUUCGAAUCCCAGCUCUGCCA
rnacentral:tRNA from 1 species